rnacentral:miRNA from 1 species
CUGGUACAAAAAAACUAUUAAAUGACACUUACCUGCUGACAAUUACAACAGUGGCAGGUAAGUGUCAUUUAAUAGUUUUUUUGUACCAG